GUAGGUGAACCUGCGGAAGGAUCAUUACCGAGUAAGGGUCCUCUGGGCUCGACCUCCUACCCUUUGUCUACCUUACCAUUUGUUGCUUCGGCGGAUCCGUCCCCUCGGGGAUCGCCGAGGGGUCUAGGCCCCUUGGCCCGCGUCCGCCGGUGGCCCACAACCAAAACUCUUGUUUAAGCGUGUCGUCUAAGUACAAAACAAAUAAUUAAAAACUUUCAACAACGGAUCUCUUGGUUCUG
rnacentral:misc_RNA from 1 species